GGGCCUCUUUGGGGAGGGGGUUGGGCUGCUUGAUUUAAAAGCAGACGCGGGAGAAACAGCACGGAGGAGCAGUGACCCUUGGAAAGCACAUGUUGCUCCGCAGGUGGCUCAGUCGGUGGGGUUCUGGUUGGUGGCAGCAUCAAAAGGAUGUUACUUGAGAAAACAAGGAAAUUAUUCAAGAAAUUGGAACAGGUUGGCUCUAUGAACAGUGGAACUAACUCAGAAAAGCCAUGAAGGAAAAUACCGGUGUUGGCUUGUUGGGACGCCCACACACACUGCACUGCGGGUGCCAGCUGGUGAUGCGGUGACCUGCUGGAGGCCAGCUGGACUCAGAAGACAACACGUGGCAGCAGUGGAGGCCCUGUAC